rnacentral:lncRNA from 1 species
UGAAACAAGUUGGCUAAAGAGAAUGUGAGAGCUAGAGUACAAAGGCAAGGAUUGGCCAUAUUUAAUGCAUGGGGAUGCAAUUUUUUAAAUUCAACAACAUGGGCUGGAAUUGACUUACCAUUUUUGACGCUAAAAUUCAGGGCUACUUGGUGGAGUGAGGACAAAUAGAGUGUGAAUAUAUGACGAAAUGAUAAAUUUUCAUUUUGGCCAUUUUGCGCUAUAGGGCGUUGACUACCAGACUAGUUGAUGAAGACAAGAGGAUCAACAAAGCAUUCUACUGUCUGAUCUAUAAAUUAUUUCCAGUGGACAUCAAUAUUCAAAUUCCAACAGGAAUUAAAAGCAUUGGGAAAUUAAUUUUCAUUUGUUUAAUGUUUGGUGCUCACAUAUCAAAUAGCAGAGGCAGGCCUACACUACUUCUCCAAAAACUUCAUAUAUAUUUGGAAAUGUUUCCAAAAAUUCGUCAGAUAUUAG